rfam:Aedes albopictus isolate Foshan contig47437, whole genome shotgun sequence.
UCAAAUUUGUCUGAAGAGAAAAAAGUUACAGCUUGUUGAAUACAAUUUUUGAAAUUCGCAAAUAAUAACCUAGUUUUCAAAAUCUGUGCAAUCAU